rnacentral:rRNA from 1 species
CCUACGGGUGGCAGCAGUGGGGGAUAUUGCACAAUGGGGGAAACCCUGAUGCAGCGACGCCGCGUGGGUGAAGAAGUAUUUCGGUAUGUAAAGCUCUAUCAGCAGGGAAGAAAGAAGACGGUACCUGACUAAGAAGCCCCGGCUAACUACGUGCCAGCAGCCGCGGUAAUACGGAGGGGUCGAGCGUUAUCCGGAUUCACUGGGUGUAAAGGGAGCGUAGACGGCCGUGCAAGCCAGGAGUGAAAGCCCGGGGCCCAACCCCGGGACCGCUGUUGGAACUGGGCGGCUGGAGUGCGGGAGGGGCAGGCGGAAUUCCUGGUGUAGCGGUGAAAUGCGUAGAUAUCAGGAGGAACACCGGCGGCGAAGGCGGCCUGCUGGACCGCGACUGACGUUGAGGCUCGAAAGCGUGGGGAGCGAACAGGAUUAGAUACCCCUGUAGUC